rnacentral:rRNA from 1 species
AGUGAACGCUGGCGGUAGGCCUAACACAUGCAAGUCGAACGGCAGCACAGUAAGAGCUUGCUCUUACGGGUGGCGCGUGGCGGACGGGUGCGGUAUACACCGGAAUCUACUUUUUCGUGGGGUAUAACGUAGGGAAACUUACGCUAAUACCGCAUUCGACCUACUGGUGAAAGCAGGGGAUCUUCGGACCUUGCUCGAUUGAAUGAGCCGAUGUCGGCUUAGCUAGUUGGCGGGGUAAAGGCCCACCAUGGCGACGCUCCUUAGCGGGUCUGAGAGGAUGAUCAGCCACACUGGAACUGAGACACGGGCCAGACUCCUACGGGAGGCAGCAGUGGGGAAUAUUGGACAAAGGGCGCAAGCCUGAUCCAGCCAUACCGCGUGGGUGAAGAAGGCCUUCGGGUUGUAAAGCCCUUUUGUUGGGAAAGAAAAGCAGCAGGUUAAUACCCCGCUGUACUGACGGUACCCAAAGAAUAAGCACCGGCUAACUUCGUG